UCUCCGUUGGUGAACCAGCGGAGGGAUCAUUGCUGGAACGCGCCUCGGCGCACCCAGAAACCCUUUGUGAACUUAUACCUUAUUGUUGCCUCGGCGCAGGCCGGCCCCCUUCUGGGGGCCCCUCGUUUCUGACGAGGAGCAGGCUCGCCGGCGGCCAAGUUAACUCUUGUUUUUAUUGUGAAACUCUGAGAAUAAAACAUAAAUGAAUCAAAACUUUCAACAACGGAUCUCUUGGUUCUG
rnacentral:misc_RNA from 1 species